CGCCCUCUCCCUCCGUUUCGAAUUACUUGUCGCAGGUAUGGAUGUAUCUAGAUGUAUUUUAGUUCUAGAUACAUCCAUUUCUUCGAUGAGUAAUUUGGAACGGAGGGAGUAGUUG
rnacentral:pre_miRNA from 1 species